UAAGGCUUGUGAUUUGUGAUAUACUUAGUUAGUAAUAUCUAUUUUUUUUGUGAUUGGAAUCAAGUAGAGUUAGUGACCAGGUUGAUUCUGAUUUCUGUGUGUUUCAAUUUUAUGAAUUUUGUGAUCUUAAGUUGAAAUUUCAGAUGGAAAAACAUUUAAUUUUUCUGUGUGUUUGCGCGCGAGUUGCGAGAAGCUCCGCCUAACACCCUCGCAUCACCCUUCUCCGUCAUGGCCAUGGCCAGCCACCACCUCGUCGUCACGCUCUCACUCAAUGGUCAAAAGAGUUUGAUUUCAUCAUUUAUCAUUUUUUCAUUCAGAGCAUGGCAAUGGACGGUGAAUAAGGUGAGCCAUUAUCUCUCCCUUCUCUAUUUGUAGCAUGCUCUUUUAUUGAGGUUCUUAAAUGACAUCUGAUUUCAUUUUGUAUUUGGUUUGUGAGUUUCUAUUCUACACCUAUUAUGCGUGCAAGUGUAAGAAUAGAAAGCACAGGUCCAUGGACGCUUUGAGAAAAUAAGCAACAAAAAGUUUAACUUCUUCUACUUCGUUUGAGCGAGCAUCGCUGUAUGGUUCUAGGAAUAUUCUUGACCAUCACAGAGACAUGAGGAUGGGCGUAGAUAACAUGAGCUAUGAGGAACUUCUUGCACUUGGUGAGAGGAUUGCCCAUGUUAACACAGGGUUGUCUGAAGACUCGCUCACCAAGAAACAAUGUAAUCUUUCUGAAGCUGAUUUCAUCCAAGGUUACUGAAUCACCCUUAUAAGGCAAGUCUUCAUGAGAUCAACGAGGAACCCAGUUGCCCAUCUCCUUUAAUUUUUGAUUUCGAGCAGGCAACUCUUGACGAAGAAGAUAUAAAGGAGCUCAUAUGGAAGGAGUCUCUGAACUUCUGCUAGGAUCAGGUGCAGGAAUAAUAGUCUUGGCAAAAUUGCCUUUUUCUGUCAUUAUAUUCUAUGGAAUUUCAUAAUGCAUGUUUCGCAAGUUGAGUGGUAAAUGAUCUACUUCUGUAAAACAUGUUUCGCGAGUUGAAUAGGUUC